rnacentral:misc_RNA from 1 species
AUCAUAAACAGCAUCUUUUAGCUCUUCAAGCCACUUCUUUACAUUCUUGUUCCUGAUUUGCUUCUCCUCAGCAUCAUCAAGCACAACGUUAACAGACAACAAGGUUAUCUCUAACCGCUUAAGCAGCUCACUAUUAAGCUUCUUUCCCUUGAUAAAGUCAACGACCUCGUGAGAAGCAAUCCUAUCAAACAGCACCUGAAGGGAAGCAGAUAGAAAAGCACCACCCACCACAGCCCCUGCCAUGUUUAAUUGCAGGAGGAAAUUGGAACGAUAUUGCAAGUAAG